rnacentral:snoRNA from 1 species
GUUUGUAUGAUUAAAACCAUAGAUGUAACUACUUGACUGAGGAAGUUCAUGCAGGACAAAACAAUUAAUAGGAAUUCUUCGUUUAUGAUUCUUCAAC